rnacentral:lncRNA from 1 species
UAACUUACUCUUUUUUCAUAAAGCAGAUGUCUUUUCUUGUGAGAAUUGGCAUAUUUUUACCCUUAGAAUGAUCUCUGCUUUUAUAUGCCUAAUUAAAUUUUAGUGGUCCCUUGCUUAAAUAAAGAUUUAUUAGCUCUUAAAAUAGUAGCAUAAUUCUUCCACCUACACACUAUCCUUUAACAUAUUUACAAGCAGACUGGCUUAUCCACUACAAAAAAAAAAUUGAAAUAAAAAGUGGAUUAUUUAAUGUUGUUACGUUACUGGUGUCAAUUACUAUACUUCACAAUAGAGCUUUCUGAAGACACUGCUCUUUAACCCUGGAGCUGUAAGAACACUUGAAGAAAGAGAAGCUGUCAGUCUUAGAGAUCAAGUACUCCAAAAACUCAAAUAACAGAGGCAAUCAGCAAAUUUCAGCCCCAUGUUUGGACUCUGCCAUAGCUGUGAUAUGAGCUGACACAUUGUCAGUUGGAGGAACCCAGGGAAUUAUUUUAAGGAGCUGAAAUUUGCAUCAUCAGAAGCCCUGCUUAUACAUGACUUCUCAUUUCUCUUUGUGAACAAGAAAGACAAAACCUGUACAUAACACUUUUGCACACAUAAAUUUAUAUAUACUGACAGAAAGAUAAAUAGUAACACAGUAAAGCUCUGUGUUUGCCAAACUAUUGGAAAUAAUUUCUUAUAGUUCUGUGGCUCGGGUUUUUUAUAAAGCUCAUUUAUUCUCCAGGAUUAGAAGAUUAGUAGUUUGUUGGUCUUUCAUUAGUUUUACUUUAUUACAGUCCUGCUUGCUAAAAUAUUUACAUCACAGGGAAUAUCCUUUUCACUGAGCUGUAAAACCUCACCUCUCUACCCUGCACACUGACAUCUUUGCACCUUGUAAACACCACUGCUACAAGCAAUUGUGUUCCAUGUGUUUGUCAGAUUGCAUCAGGAAUGCUGAAUUUCAUCUUCUUGCUAUAAUUUUAAUAUUGCUCAGUAAAACCUAAAGCUUUUGGUGAUUUCAAAUAUAUUUUUUAAGUGCAAGAGGUGACUCACUCAUUUAAUUUCACUCUUUUACGCCAGAUUCUCUUCCAAAAGUCACAAAAAGCAGGUCGCUCAAAAACAUUCAAUAUAUGAAUGUCAUACAGCUGGCCUCACAAAUAAAUCAGCAUACAAAAUCCCCUCUUACUGAAAUUUGUCACAGUAAACAUCAGAAGCUGUAAAGUUAAACUAAUAGGAAACUGCCUUGUGCAAUUGGUGUGUGUGUGUGCCCAAACAUACAGAGGCACACACACCCCAUCCACAGCUUUGUAUUUUUCCAUAUAUGUGCUAUAUGUUCAAAGAGCAACUUGCUACAGGCACGAUGCCAUCAAAAUCUGGAGAAGACAUGAGUGGAAAAGCCUGGAAAACUUUGGUUUAAUAGUAACAGUGCUGUAAUAUCAGGAUGUAUUGUUCCUUUACCUUGCAAUCUUAAUUUCAGCCACCAGCUGCUGACAGUGCCUCUGUUUUUUAUGCACGUAUAUGAAGGUCUGUAUAAUUUGUUAAAUGCAUAUAUAGGAAGCUAAUGAAUAUACAGAAGCCAAGCCAUGUGAAAACCUCUUUGCCCAACAGUGACAUUGGAAUGAAGGCACUGUGGUCAAGGCUGGGCUGGAGGGGCACAUGUCCUCUACAUCCAGGGCUGCUCUUCAGGCAGCCUUGGGAUGAUUCCUGGAUAAAGAAAACCCUGCCUGAUGAAGAAAAGAGCCACACACACAUUUAAGACUAGGAUUUAUCACUGGGAGCAAAGCUGGCCACAUCUACCUGGAUUUGAUACCAUUUCUGGACUCCCUCUGGCACUAACUCCAGAAGGAAUACUCUGGGGGCAGGAAAAUCUAGCAAACAUCAUUACUGACAAUCCUGAACAAGUUACUGUUUGGCUUGUUUGGAGAAUGCAAAAUCCCCAGCUGAGGAAGUAUGUUACUGAUCUGAAGAUAUUUAGGUAUUUGAAGUGCUAAGACCCUCAGAGAGACUUACUCAAAAAAAAACCAACAAAUGAAGCAACUCUUGGAUCAUCAGUCCUGUGAGGAGGAAUAAGUCUCUAAUUCUGUCUCAGUUCUCCUUCUCUGUUUUUGAGGUACAGGUUACAGUAUCUAUUCAAGAUGCAUAAGUAUGUAGCACAUACAUAUGCUCUUUUCUUAAGCCAUUAUCUACAAACCCACAAUUGAAUGCUUAGACAAAAGAAUCCUCUGAAAUACUUGGUUCUAUAAAGAAUUAUUCUCCUAUAUGAUUAUGGCUGCCAGGCAGGACAAUACUGUAUUUCUAAGAAUGGACAAAAAUAUAAUGGUAUCUCCCUAACAGAGUUUAAUCUCUUAAUAUCACUGCAUGUAUUUAAUUGUUGAAGACUAGAUGUUUCAGAAGAUGGAAACAGCAACAGUAUUGAAGCAAACAGCAAAUAUUUCCAUCAUCAGUCUCUACAAAACACCACUCUAGCAGAAGACCUCUGCUACUUGAUGACCAGGCUGGGAUGCUCAAAGGAGCCAUCCAGUUCCUAAGAAAUUCCGUAGGAAUUAUCACCGAAGUAUUUUUAAUUGCUGUUUUUUUCAAAUAAGUCACUUUAUUAAGGGGAAGGUCGUGAUUUCUAAUGGCAUCUCCCAGAUUUUCAUUGCUUCCAUGCCUUUAGCACCAUGACCCCCCCAGCAUUCAUGUUCAUGGCCAUGGAAGCUUUAGAGCAUUACAGGCUGGAGAAGGGAAAAACAAAACAGAGCACAGCACCACAAACAGGCACCCAACACCCUCCAAAAGGGGAAUCAAGUGUAAAGCAAAGGAGCCACAUGUGCUGGCCCAGCUGGGUAUCUCCAGGAAGGGUGUGAAGUCCUUCCUCCAGCUAAUCUGAACAGAUAGAACAAGAUCACAGUAGAACAAGAUCAUGCCAUGUUGGCAUUAAACAGAUCAUCUUAGCAGAUGGAAGGAGAAGUGGCUGUUCAUGAAACUCACGUAGCACUAGAGGGAAGGGCUGGCAGGAGGUAUAAGGGAAAAAAAGAAAAAAGAGGAAUAAAUGGAGAGGACUGGAAGACACAAGUCAUAGUGGCUCUUAGCCAUUACAGCCAAUGCUGUUCCAGAGUUAUGAAAAUAUAGUACUAAGCACACAAAUGUAACAAAAAGAUAUUGGUACAUACACACACUCCACAUUUCAGCUCAGUGGGGAAAAUCAAAAUUUUUUUCUCAAUGUUCUCCCAACAGUCAUUCUUGAGAAUGAGAGGACACCUAAGCAGUUGUUCCAAUUGACCAUACUUAAAAAUCAACUUCUGCUUCUGCUGAAAUAAUGAGGUCACAGAGAACACAUUUAAAGGGUAAGAAAGAUGGACUGCGGGAUGCAGCCCUUUUCCAUCCACCCAGAAAAGCCCCCUGCAUGUACUCAUUUCUGUCUUCUUUAUGAAUUUAACAACAGAAAUAAUAAAUCUAUUAAAUAAAAUAAAAAGACCUGAUUGUGUUAUUCAGAUUCUGUCUAGAGGAAUGAAAUCCCCAAACUUUUAUAUCAUCCCAUUUAAAACACUCCUCUAUUUGUGGCACAAAUUCUUGUGCAGUGCACCACAGAAGGAGUCUAAAACCAAUACUCCAAAUGCAGUAAAAGUCUCAUGCAGCAUCCUCAGGACACUCUCCCAUUGGCUUGCAAAAUUACAUUGAAUGACUUCUUGAAGAAGUGAAGAAGAAGGAGCUGCUGCUGGGACAUUUAAUCUAUCAAAACACAAAUAAUUAAUGGUUGAAAAUAUGUUUUGUUUAAUAAUUUCUGUUCUUCAUUAGUGUGAACCAAGGACACAGACUAUCUGAGACAAUAGCAUCUGCACUCCAUAUUUCAUUAUCACCAAACUUCACAUUUCACACAAAAGCAUAGCUAGCAAAGCCUUACAGCUUUAAUUAGUUUCUGCCAUAGCUGUGAAGGUCAGCCAAUUAUUGUGUGUGAAAUUUCAAUAUGAAGCGGCUGAAUUGAAGACAGCAUUGCAACAUUGUGAAACUCUGCAGUGCUGUAAAUCUAGCGUGAUAGAAGCUUUUUUUCAAAGAAAAAUGCUCACAAAAUAACAUAAAUUAAUCAUCAGGUAUGCACAGCUUCAAGGCUUAUUGGCUAAUUUUACAUGUGUUGGGGUGGGGGGGGGAGAAAGGUAAUUUUUAUGAGCAUAUUAUGUUUUGCUAGGUUUCUUCUUAUCAGUGUCACCAACCAUGACAAAACACUUAGUUGGGUCCUCAUUUCUAGGAGGAAAACACGGGGGGUUUGUGGGAUUCAGAGACCUGCUGACAAAAGGAAACAAUAGCAUUGAGCAGAUGAGUUUCAGCCAUCUAGAAUGAGGGUCAUGAGAUGAACAGCAUGCCCUGAAAAACCAGGCCUUCCAAAAGUUGUCUCCUUUAGGCUCCAGCCUCAUGGUUGGCUUUGGAAAAUCUUGAGCCCAGUGUACAUGUGUGUCGGUGUGUAAAAACAUAGAGAAGAAUUUGGAUUCAAAAAUACAUAAAUAAUCUAUGCCCCAGCUGGCAGUGAGGAAGCAGUAAAGGAUGCAAAAGGAUGCACACACCUCUGACCCAAGCUACAGCCUCUUUGCACAUGCCAUUCUUGCCAAAAGCAAGUCAUUUAUGCAGUGAGUUGUGCCCUGGGAUUACAGAUGUGCAGAAGGUAUAGCCUGAACCCUGCAUGCAUUCAAGGCCAGCCUUACUCUCAAAUCUGGACAGUGCAUUAAAAAGAAACAUCUUUUGCCUGUUUCUUGGUUUUUUAAUAGAUGAAAACGCCGAGUAAAUUUUAUCAUUUUACAUAGUGAACAGCGAGACCUUCAAAGAUGCACUUGAAGCUAUUUUUUUUUUAUUUGGGUACCACCAGAUAGCACAUUGAAGUCAAAUAAUAAUGAUACAAUGGUUCUAUCCCUCUAGCUCCAGUGGGCUAACAAGACCUGUCCUUGAUUAUAAAUUUACAAGUGAGAUUGCUGGGUUUCAAUUGAAGAAAAAAAAAGAGGGCACAAACCUUAGGGAUUGGAUUUCUUUUGUGUAUUGUUCCUAUGUUUAAGCCCUUUUUUUUUUAAAUGAAAUGAUCCUGACAGAAAAUAUAUGCAAACCCAUUUUUAAUCUAGCCUGGGACGACAUAUGCAGCUCUAGUAAGCACCAUAGUUUUAUUCAUGUGGAAAUACCUGCAUGUUCAUAUGUAUAUAUGCACAUCACAACCAAUUCCCCCUUCCUGUGCCCCAUUUUUUUCCUGCCAUUGGGAGGACCAGGUAAAAGGUUGUGCAGAGCCUCUGCAGACAAAGCAAAACCAGUGAGGCAGUUUUACUGCUCAGCUUCUCUCCUGAAUUCCUUCUUUCCUGGCACAAAACACAUUUGAGGCUAUAAUGUGACUCACAGCAGAUAUCGCCAGAGAUUUUUGUUCUUAAAAAAAAAAUAAAAUGUAUAACUAGCAUUAGAUGCUCAAGCAUCAGCACAUACAUUCCUGGAGUUACCAAAAUCCCCAAUUUUUGGUUGCCAGAGAACUGUAUCCUGGGCUGCACCAAAAGCAGCCUGGGCAGAAGGUCGAGAGAGGUGAUUCUGCUCUUGUGACACACCACCCAGAAUCCAGAUCUGGAGACCCCAACAUAGGAAGGAUGUGGACCUGCUGGAGGGAGCCAAGAGAAGGGUCAUGAAGGUGAUUAGAAGGAUGAAGAAUCUGUGCUGUGAUUGUUUUGCCUGGAGAAGAGAAGGCUGUAAGGAAACCUCACUGUGGUUUUCCAGUACCUAAAUGGGAUCCACGAGUGCUGGUCAAGGAUUUUUGACAAGGGCAUGGAGUGAGAGGACAAGGAGAAAUGGCUUUGAACUGAAAGAGCUGGGUUAGAUUAGAUAUUUGGAAGAAAUUCUUUACUGUGAUGUUGGUGAGAGCUGUCACUGAUUGCCCAGAAAAGUUGUGGUUUCCCAAGCCUGGAAGUGUUCAAAGCCAGGUUGGAUGGGACUCUGAAAAGCUUUGUCUAGUGGAAAGUGUCCCUGCUCAUGGCAGGAGAGUCAGAACUAGAGGAUCUCCCUUCCAAACCAUUCUAUGAUUCUGCAAUCAUAGAUUAUUUAGAAUUAAAACCAUCAUCAUGAUAGACAUGCAUUUUUUCCUGCCUCUUAAAUAAUCCCUUAACUAAACCCAGCUGAAGGAGAGAUUAUAAAGUAACUGACAAAUCCUGCUGCACCUUUUUCAACAUCAUCAAAUACAUCCAUGCAUGGAGAAAAAAGUUUUUAAAAAAAAAA